rnacentral:rRNA from 1 species
UACAGAGGUCUCAAGCGUUGUUCGGAUUCAUUGGGCGUAAAGGGUGCGUAGGCGGCGCGGUAAGUCGGGUGUGAAAUCUUGGAGCUUAACUCCGAAACUGCAUUCGAUACUGCCGUGCUUGAGGACUUGGAGAGGAGACUGGAAUUUACGGUGUAGCGGUGAAAUGCGUAGAUAUCGUAAGGAAGACCAGUGGCGAAGGCGGGUCUCUGGACAGUUCCUGACACUGAGACACGAAGGCCAGGGGAGCAAACGGG